rnacentral:rRNA from 1 species
GAUUAACGCUGGCGGCGUGCCUUAUGCAUGCAAGUCGUACGGUCUCGAUUUAUCGGGAUAGUGGCAAACGGGUGAGUAACGCGUAAGCAACCUAUCCCUAAGUAAGGAAUAACUCUGAGAAAUUAGAGCUAAUACCUUAUGUGGUGGUGCCGGUAAGGCGGUAUCACUAAAGCCUUCGGGUGCUUGGGGAGGGGCUUGUGUCCGAUUAGCUAGUUGGUAGGGUAAGGGCUUACCAAGGCGAUGAUCGGUAGCUGGUCUGAGAGGACGAUCAGCCACACUGGGACUGAGACACGGCCCAGACUCCUACGGGAGGCAGCAGCAAGGAAUUUUGUGCAAUGGGCGAAAGCCUGACACAGCGACGUCGCGUGGGGGAAGAAGGCUCUCGGGUUGUAAACCCUUUUUCUCAGGGAAGAAUAAUGACGGUACCUGAGGAAUAAGUCUCGGCUAACUACGUGCCAGCAGCCGCGGUAAUACGUAGGAGGCGAGCGUUAUUCGGAUUUACUGGGCGUAAAGAGGGCGCAGGUGGCUUUUCAAGUCGGUUGUAAAAUCUCCCUGCUUAACGGGGAGGGACCAGCCGAUACUGCUAGGCUAGAGGACAGCAGAGGGAGGUGGAAUUCCCGGUGUAGUGGUGAAAUACGUAGAUAUCGGGAAGAACACCAGUGGCGAAGGCGGCCUCCUGGGCUGUUUCUGACACUGAGGCCCGAAAGCGUGGGGAGCGAACAGGAUUAGAUACCCUGGUAGUCCACGCUGUAAACGAUGGACACUAGGUAUAGGGAGUAUCGACCCUCUCUGUGCCGUAGUUAACACGUUAAGUGUCCCGCCUGGGGACUACGGCCGCAAGGCUA